rnacentral:rRNA from 1 species
UACGGGGGGAGCAAGCGUUGUUCGGAUUUACUGGGCGUAAAGGGCGCGUAGGCGGCCUGGAAAGUCGGGGGUGAAAUCCUGCGGCUUAACCGCAGGGCUGCCUUCUAAACUGUCAGGCUAGAGCACGGUAGAGGCAGAUGGAAUUCCCGGUGUAGCGGUGGAAUGCGUAGAGAUCGGGAAGAACAUCAGUGGCGAAGGCGGUCUGCUGGGCCGUUGCUGACGCUGAGGCGCGACAGCGUGGGGAGCAAACAGG